GAUGAACGCUGGCGGCGUGCCUAAUACAUGCAAGUCGAGCGAACAGACGGGGAGCUUGCUCCUCUGACGUUAGCGGCGGACGGGUGAGUAACACGUGGAUAACCUACCUAUAAGACUGGGAUAACUUCGGGAAACCGGAGCUAAUACCGGAUAAUAUAUUGAACCGCAUGGUUCAAUAGUGAAAGACGGUUUUGCUGUCACUUAUAGAUGGAUCCGCGCCGCAUCAGCUAGUUGGUAAGGUAACGGCUUACCAAGGCAACGAUGCGUAGCCGACCUGAGAGGGUGAUCGGCCACACUGGAACUGAGACACGGUCCAGACUCCUACGGGAGGCAGCAGUAGGGAAUCUUCCGCAAUGGGCGAAAGCCUGACGGAGCAACGCCGCGUGAGUGAUGAAGGUCUUCGGAUCGUAAAACUCUGUUAUUAGGGAAGAACAAAUGUGUAAGUAACUAUGCACGUCUUGACGGUACCUAAUCAGAAAGCCACGGCUAACUACGUG
rnacentral:rRNA from 1 species